CCAAUUUGAUAGCGGGGCCCACAAAUAAAAAAUCUAAAUUCAUGGUUAGAUUCAGCAUAUCAAAGAACCCCAUAUAUUCAAUUUUUGUUGAAAUCAAAAAAGUUUAAUUUUGGACCCCAACUUGGACCAACUUGAAAACUGGGCCCAUAAUCAAAAAUCUAAACACAUGUUUAGAUUUAGCAUAUCAAAGAACCCUAAGAAUUCAUUUUUUGUUAAAAUCAAACUAAGUUUAAUUUUGGACCCUAUGGACCUCAAUGAAGACCAAUUUUAAAAAAUGGGACCCAAAUUAAAAAUCUAAAAACACGGUUAGAUUUGGCAUAUCAAAGAACCCCAAUAAUUCAAUUUUUGAUGAAAUCAAACAAAGUUUAAUUUUAGACCCUUUUGACCUCAAUAUGAACUUAUUUGAUAGCGGGGCCCACAAAUAAAAAAUCUAAAUACAUGGUUAGAUUCAGCAUAUCAAGGAACCUCAUAUAUUCAAUUUUUGUUGAAAUCAAACAAAGUUUAAUUUUGGACCCCAAUUUGGACCAACUUGAAAACUGGGCCCAAAAUCAAAAAUCUAAAUACAUGGUUAGAUUCAGCAUAUCAAAGAACCCCAUAUAUUCAAUUUUUGUUGAAAUCAAACAAAGUUUAAAUACUGGACCCUAUCUUGGACCAACUUGAAAACUGGGCCCAUAAUCAAAAAUCUAAACACAUGUUUAGAUUUAGCAUAUCAAAGAACCCCAAGAAUUCAAUUUUUGUUUAAAUCAAACUAAGUUUAAUUUUGGACCCUUUGGACCUCAAUGAAGACCAAUUUUAAAAAAUGGGACCCAAAUUAAAAAUCUAAAAACACGGUUAGAUUAUGCAUAUCAAAGAACCCCAAUAAUUCAAUUUUUGAUGAAAUCAAACAAAGUUUAAUUUUAGACCCUUUUGACCUCAAUAUGAACCAAUUUGAUAGCGGGGCCCACAAAUAAAAAAUCUAAAUACAUGGUUAGAUUCAGCAUAUCAAAGAACCUCAUAUAUUCAAUUUUUGUUGAAAUCAAACAAAGUUUAAUUUUAGACCCCAAUUUGGACAAACUUGAAAACUGGGCCCAUAAUCAAAAAUCUAAAUACAUGUUUAGAUUCAGCAUAUCAAAGAACCCCAUAUAUUCAAUUUUUGUUGAAAUCAAACAAAGUUUAAAUACUGGACCCUAUCUUGGACCAACUUGAAAACUGGGCCCAUAAUCAAAAAUCUAAACACAUGUUUAGAUUCAGCAUAUCAAAGAACCCCAAGAAUUCAGUUUUUGUUAAAAUCAAACUAAGUUUUAUUUUGGACCCUUUGGACCUUAAUGUAGACCAAUUUAAAAAACAGGACCCAAAAUUAAAAAUCUAAAUACACGGUUAGAUUUGGAAUAUCAAAGAACCCCAAUAAUUCAAUUUUUGAUGAAAUCAAACAAAGUUUAAUUUUGGACCCUUUUGACCUCAAUAUGAACCAAUUUGAUAGCGGGGCCCACAAAUAAAAAAUCUAAAUUCAUGGUUAGAUUCAGCAUAUCAAAGAACCCCAUAUAUUCAAUUUUUGUUGAAAUCAAAAAAAGUUUAAUUUUGGACCCCAACUUGGACCAACUUGAAAACUGGGCCCAUAAUCAAAAAUCUAAACACAUGUUUAGAUUUAGCAUAUCAAAGAACCCUAAGAAUUCAUUUUUUGUUAAAAUCAAACUAAGUUUAAUUUUGGACCCUUUGGACCUCAAUGAAGACCAAUUUUAAAAUAUGGGACCCAAAUUAAAAAUCUAAAAACACGGUUAGAUUUGGCAUAUCAAAGAACCCCAAUAAUUCAAUUUUUGAUGAAAUCAAACAAAGUUUAAUUUUAGACCCUUUUGACCUCAAUAUGAACUUAUUUGAUAGCGGGGCCCACAAAUAAAAAAUCUAAAUACAUGGUUAGAUUCAGCAUAUCAAAGAACCUCAUAUAUUCAAUUUUUGUUGAAAUCAAACAAAGUUUAAUUUUGGACCCCAAUUUGGACCAACCUGAAAACUGGGCCCAUAAUAAAAAAUCUAAAUACAUGUUUAGAUUCAGCAUAUCAAAGAACCCCAUAUAUUCAAUUUUUGUUGAAAUCAAAAAAAGUUUAAUUUUGGACCCCAACUUGGACCAACUUGAAAACUGGGCCCAUAAUCAAAAAUCUAAACACAUGUUUAGAUUUAGCAUAUCAAAGAACCCCAAGAAUUCAAUUUUUGUUAAAAUCAAACUAAGUUUAAUUUUGGACCCUUUGGACCUCAAUGAAGACCAAUUUUAAAAAAUGGGACCCAAAUUAAAAAUCUAAAAACACGGUUAGAUUAUGCAUAUCAAAGAACCCCAAUAAUUCAAUUUUUGAUGAAAUCAAACAAAGUUUAAUUUUAGACCCUUUUGACCUCAAUAUGAAUCAAUUUGAUAGCGGGGCCCACAAAUAAAAAAUCUAAAUACAUGGUUAGAUUCAGCAUAUCAAAGAACCUCAUAUAUUCAAUUUUUGUUGAAAUCAAACAAAGUUUAAUUUUGGACCCCAAUUUGGACCAACUUGAAAACUGGGCCCAUAAUCAAAAAUCUAAAUACAUGUUUAGAUUCAGCAUAUCAAAGAACCCCAUAUAUUCAAUUUUUGUUGAAAUCAAACAAAGUUUAAAUACUGGACCCUAUCUUGGACCAACUUGAAAACUGGGCCCAUAAUCAAAAAUCUAAACACAUGUUUAGAUUUAGCAUAUCAAAGAACCCCAAUAAUUCAAUUUUUGAUGAAAUCAAACAAAGUUUAAUUUUAGACCCUUUUGACCUCAAUAUGAACUUAUUUGAUAGCGGGGCCCACAAAUAAAAAAUCUAAAUACAUGGUUAGAUUCAGCAUAUCAAAGAACCUCAUAUAUUCAAUUUUUGUUGAAAUCAAACAAAGUUUAAUUUUGGACCCCAAUUUGGACCAACCUGAAAACUGGGCCCAUAAUAAAAAAUCUAAAUACAUGUUUAGAUUCAGCAUAUCAAAGAACCCCAUAUAUUCAAUUUUUGUUGAAAUCAAAAAAAGUUUAAUUUUGGACCCCAACUUGGACCAACUUGAAAACUGGGCCCAUAAUCAAAAAUCUAAACACAUGUUUAGAUUUAGCAUAUCAAAGAACCCCAAGAAUUCAAUUUUUGUUAAAAUCAAACUAAGUUUAAUUUUGGACCCUUUGGAACUCAAUUAAGACCAAUUUUAAAAAAUGGGACCCAAAUUAAAAAUCUAAAAACACGGUUAGAUUAUGCAUAUCAAAGAACCCCAAUAACUCAAUUUUUGAUGAAAUCAAACAAAGUUUAAUUUUAGACCCUUUUGACCUCAAUAUGAACCAAUUUGAUAACGGGGUCCACAAAUAAAAAAUCUAAAUACAUGGUUAGAUUCAGCAUAUCAAAGAACCCCAUAUAUUCAAUUUUUGUUGAAAUCAAACAAAGUUUAAUUUUGGACCCCAAUUUGGACCAACUUGAAAACUGGGCCAAAAAUCAAAAAUCUAAAUACAUGUUUAGAUUCAGCAUAUCAAAGAACCUCAUAUAUUCAAUUUUUGUUGAAAUCAAACAAAGUUUAAUUUUGGACCCCAAUUUGGACCAACUUGAAAACUGGGCCCAUAAUCAAAAAUCUAAAUACAUGUUUAGAUUCAGCAUAUCAAAGAACCCCAUAUAUUCAAUUUUUGUUGAAAUCAAACAAAGUUUAAAUACUGGACCCUAUCUUGGACCAACUUGAAAACUGGGCCCAUAAUAAAAAAUCUAAACACAUGUUUAGAUUCAGCAUAUCAAAGAACCCCAAGAAUUCAAUUUUUGUUAAAAUCAAACUAAGUUUAAUUUUGGACCCUUUGGACCUUAAUGUAGACCAAUUUAAACAAGAGUGCACACGCUGAAAUGUCUCGCCUUCUUUACUAAUCAUUGAUAUUAUGUUGAUAGUCCUAAAUAUAAAGUUUUAUUACAACUGUCACAUAAACUUAACAUUAACCAAGUAAACUAAACAUUGACCAAUGAACCAUGAAAAUGAGGUCAAGGUCAGAUGAACCAUGCUCGGCCGGCAUGUACAGCUAACAAUUCUUCCAUACAACAAAUAUAGUUGACCUAUUGCUUAUAGUUUAAGAAAAACACCAAAACACAAAAACUUAACACUGAGCAAUGAACCUUGAAAAUGAGGUCAAGGUCAAAUAAAACCUGCGUGACUGCCAAAAAGAUCAUAAAAUAUUUCCAUACACCAAAUAUAGUUGAACUAUUGCAUAUAGUAUAAGAAAAACAGACCAAAACACAAAAACUUAACUAUAACCACUGAACCAUGAAAAUGAGGUCAAGGUCAUAUGACACUUGCCCGCUAGACAUGUACACCUUACAAUCAUUCCAUACACCAAAUAUAGUAGACCUAUGGCAUACAGUAUAAGAAAAACAGACCAAAACACAAAAACUUAACUAUAACCACUGAACCAUGAAAAUGAGGUCAAGGUCAGAUGACACCUGCCAGUUGGACAUGUACACCUUACAGUCCUUCCAUACACCGAAUAUACUAGACCUAUUGCUUAUAGUAUCUGAGAUAUGGACUUGACCACCAAAACUUAACCUUGUUCACUGAUCCAUGAAAUGAGGUCGAGGUCAAGUGAAAACUGUCUGACGGGCAUGAGGACCUUGCAAGGUACGCACAUACCAAAUAUAGUUAUCCUAUUACUUAUAAUAAGAGAGAAUUUAACAUUACAAAAAAUCUGAACUUUUUUUUCAAGUAGUCACUGAACCAUGAAAAUGAGGUCAAGGACAUUGGACAUGUGACUGACAGAAACUUCGUAACAUGAGGCAUCCAUAUACAAAGUAUGAAGCAUCCAGACCUUCCACCUUCUAAAAUAUAAAGCUUUUAAGAAGUUAGCUAACGCCGCCGCCGCCGGAUCACUAUCCCUAUGUCGAGCUUUCUGCGACAAAAGUCGCAGGCUCGACAAAAACAGGACCCAAAAUUAAAAAUCUAAAUACACGGUUAGAUUUGGAAUAUCAAAGAACCCCAAUAAUUCAAUUUUAGAUGAAAUCAAACAAAGUUUAAUUUUGGACCCUUUUGACCUCAAUAUGAACCAAUUUGAUAACGGGGUCCACAAAUAAAAAAUCUAAAUACAUGUUUAGAUUCAGCAUAUCAAAGAACCUCAUAUAUUCAAUUUUUGCUAAAAUCAAACAAA